GAGUUUGAUCAUGGCUCAGGAUGAACGCUGGCGGCGUGCCUAACACAUGCAAGUCGAGCGAAGCACUUUACUUCGAUUCUUCGGAUGAAGAGUUUUGUGACUGAGCGGCGGACGGGUGAGUAACGCGUGGGUAACCUGCCUCAUACAGGGGGAUAACAGUUAGAAAUGACUGCUAAUACCGCAUAAGACCACAGCACCGCAUGGUGCAGGGGUAAAAACUCCGGUGGUAUGAGAUGGACCCGCGU
rnacentral:rRNA from 1 species